rnacentral:rRNA from 1 species
AGAGUUUGAUCCUGGCUCAGAUUGAACGCUGGCGGCGUGCUUAACACAUGCAAGUCGAACGAGAAAGGGGCUUCGGCCCUGAGUAGAGUGGCGCACGGGUGAGUAACGCGUAGGUAAUCUACCCUUAUAUUCGGGAUAACAUCGCGAAAGCGGUGCUAAUACCGGAUAUCUUUGUAUGGACGCGAGUCUGUAUGAGGAAAGGUGACCUCUCCAUGGAAGUUACCGUAUGAGGAUGAGCCUGCGUACCAUUAGCUAGUUGGUAGGGUAAUGGCCCACCAAGGCGACGAUCAGUAGCCGGCCUGAGAGGGUGAUCGGCCACACUGGAACUGAGACACGGUCCAGACUCCUACGGGAGGCAGCAGUGGGGAAUUUUGCGCAAUGGACGAAAGUCUGACGCAGCAACGCCGCGUGGGUGAUGAAGGUCUUCGGACUGUAAAACCCUGUCGUCAGGGACGAAGGUUGGGGGGUUAAUAGCCCUUUAGCUUGACGGUACCUGGAGAGGAAGCCCCGGCUAACUCUGUGCCAGCAGCCGCGGUAAUACAGAGGGGGCAAGCGUUAUUCGGAAUUAUUGGGCGUAAAGGGCGCGUAGGCGGUUUGUUAAGUCAGAUGUGUAAUCCCCGAGCUCAACUUGGGAACUGCAUCUGAGACUGGCAGGCUAGAGUACUGGAGAGGGUGGUGGAAUUCCCGGUGUAGAGGUGAAAUUCGUAGAUAUCGGGAGGAAUACCGGUGGCGAAGGCGACACUCUGGACAGAUACUGACGCUGAGGCGCGAAAGCGUGGGGAGCAAACAGGAUUAGAUACCCUGGUAGUCC